rnacentral:rRNA from 1 species
GAGUUUGAUCCUGGCUCAGGAUGAACGCUGGCGGCGUGCCUAACACAUGCAAGUCGAACGGAGUUUAUGAGGAAGAAGCUUCGGCGGAAUUCUUAUAAACUUAGUGGCGGACGGGUGAGUAACACGUGGAGAACCUGCCUCUUACCGGGGACAGCAGUUGGAAACGACUGAUAAUACCGCAUAAGCGCACGAGACCGCAUGGUCCUGUGUGAAAAGAUUUAUCGGUAAGAGAUGGCCCCGCGUCUGAUUAGCCAGUUGGCGGGGUAACGGGCCCACCAAAGACGACGAUCAGUAGCCGGCCUGAGAGGGUGAACGGCCACAUUGGGACUGAGACACGGCCCAGACUCCUACGGGAGGCAGCAGUGGGGGAGUAUUGCACAAUGGAGGAAACUCUGAUGCAGCGACGCCGCGUGAGUGAAGAAGUAUUUCGGUAUGUAAAGCUCUAUCAGCAGGGAAGAAAGAACCUCGAAAGAGGGGAGUGACGGUACCUGGGUAAGAAGCCCGG